UACGUAGGGGGCAAGCGUUGUCCGGAAUCAUUGGGCGUAAAGAGCGCGUAGGCGGCCCUGUAAGUCCGCUGUGAAAGUCAAGGGCUCAACUUGGAUGCCGGUGGAUACUGCGGGGCUAGAGUGCGGAAGGGGCAACUGGAAUUCUCGGUGUAGCGGUGAAAUGCGUAGAUAUCGAGAGGAACACCUGCGGCGAAGGCGGGUUGCUGGGCUGACACUGACGCUGAACUGCGAAAGCUAGGGGAGCGAACGGG
rnacentral:rRNA from 1 species